rnacentral:piRNA from 1 species
UAGAAUGACUACAAGUGACAGCCGAGGCA